AUUCUGCGCUUGUGCAAACUU
rnacentral:snRNA from 1 species